ACGUCAUUUGACGCGUAACCGUGUGCGCAUGCGCCUGCGGCCGCUGCGGGUUUUGCGCACGUGGACGCACGCGACGCGGCAGCAUCGGAGGAAUCCAUAGCAACGGCGGAUAAACAUGAGUUACUACAGCAGAGCCUCCAGUUCUUCCAGCUUCGCAUCCGCCGCCAUGACCAGUACGCUGGAGGACGACAGUCUGAACCUCAGACAGCAGAAACUGGAGAAACAGGUGAGACUCAUUUACACAAGACAUAACACAAUCAUCAAAACACAAAAACACAUCAAAACAAUAACAUGCCAAAACACAGUAAAACACAAUAGUACACAAUAAUAUGUCAAAGUUCAAUAAUACAUGAUAAUAUGAAUCAAAAUACAAUAAAACACAAAAACACACAUUUCAGAACACAAUAAUAUGCAUUAAAAUACAAUAAAACACACACACAAAAAAAUCACAUUUCAGAACACAAUACACAGGAAUAUGCAUUAAAACAAUAAAACACAAUAAACAGUAACACAUGUGAAAACACAGUAAUACACAAAACAUGCAUUUAAACAUUAAAACACAAUAACACAAUAAUACGCAAUAAUGUGUCAAAACACAAAAAAUACAAAACACAAUAACUAAUUUCAAAACAAAACAAUACACAGUAAUAUGAAUUAAAACACAAUAUAACACAAUAAUGCACAAUAACACGUCAAAAUACAAUAAUACACUAUAUGGGCCAGUUUUACUAACAGCUUGCGCCAGCGCAAACCAUCUUUUGGCGUUAAAAUAGCACUGUCAGAUUUUACUAAAGACGCGCA
rnacentral:lncRNA from 1 species